GUGACGACACCUUGUACAUGCGCAGUUGCGAAAGUGAGUUCUGGUCCAGGACAGGAAGAGGAAAUUAAACGGGGAGAAUUUGUGGGCAGAAAUCUCAAAACAAACAUCACUUCAUGAUCUGACAAAGUCAUCUGAUUUCUAAUUUGGACGUGAAUAUCACCUGACUUGAAACCUAGACAGAGAAAUGUUGGAAAAAUUCUAAAGAUCAGUGUGCUGGGAAUUCAUUGAUCAAGCGAGUGUUUCAGUGAAUUGACUGUGGAAAGAGCAUAAAGCAGUUGCACAGCCUUAUAAGACAUUCACAGCGGGAAGAGACACAACAUGUGCUCUGCUCAUCAAACCUGGAGAGACACAAGGACACCUGCACCAUGGAGAAACUGUGGAAAUGUGUGAAACAUUGGGAACGUAUUCCCGACCCCAUCUAUUGCCAGAAAUGCUUGGGUGCAGUCACACGGAGGAGAGGCUAUUCAUUUUCCUCAAGG